AGGCCCUCUUAACCUCAGGAAAAAAAAAAAAACAAAAAAAACAAAGAGUGUUCCUAGAGGCCAGAAAGCAUGUUCUGGGAGAUGAUGGGCGUCCCACCCAGCUGCCUGAGGACCAAACUGGGAUUUUAAUACAGCUGAAGCCCUUCUCUGAGGGCCCAUUUACAGGCCCUACAGAUUGUGCAGAGAGACGUCUGGAGACCUUUGGCCACUGCUUACCAGGACAAGCUUGAGCAUCCGGUGGUGCCACACCCGUUCCAGAUUGGAGACACCGUGUGGGUGCACAGACACCAGACCAAGAAUCUCGAGCCACGGUGAAAAGGACCCUACACCGUCCUCCUGACUACCCCGACCGCCCUAAAGGUAGACGGAGUCUCGGCUUAGAUCCACACACCACACGUCAAGGCAGUCCGGUCUGAGGAAUUGACUAAUCACAACACUACACCCCAGACAUGGAGAGUUCAGCGCAUUCCAAACCCCUUAAAGUUAAAACUCCUACGUGGCUCCUCCUAGCCCUUUUGUGGCCUAGAGUCAGUGGGGGAAUAAGCCCCCACCAGACAGAAAUUUCUUGACCAAGUCGAGUGAAAGAUUUCACUCAAAGUUAGCAAAAAAAUGGGGGAAUGAAAGACCCCAGCUUAGCAGCAGUAACGCCAUUUUGCAAGGCUGUACUUAAGAUGACUGGUUCAGGGAAAGGUUAGAACACUGAGUACACAGCGGCUGCCAAGCAAGAUAUGUUUGGUUGAAGGCCUGGCAACAGGACGACUUCGGUUGAGCACCUGACAAUGAAAAAAAGCCCCAGGAGAGGUCCCACACCCUGGUGGGGGGCCGAGUCAGUCGUUAUGUUCCAAGAAGGUAGCUAAGAAACUUGCCCCCGGGCUGAACCCUUGGGGGGCCGAGUCAGCCGUUAUGUUUCUGGAAGGUAGCUAGGAAACUUGCCCCCGGGCUAAACCCUUGCCAUAUUAGAAUCCACCAAUUAUAUCCCUGUAACCAUGCAUCUGCUUCUGUAUGCUUGCUUCUGCUCCCCAAAAUCCUAUAAAAGCCCAUCCUUGGUUCUGUGGGGCGCGCCAGUCCCCCGAGUGACUGAAGCGCCCGCAGGUGCCUGUGCCUGUGUAUCCCGACAAUAAACCAAAUCCUCUUGCUGAUUGCA